GCCAGGCACAGUGAUGCAUGCCUGUAAUCACAGCAAGUCAGGAGGCUGAGUCAGGGGGAUUGCAAACUUGAGGCCAGCCUCUGCAACUUUGUGAGACCCUGUCUCAA
rnacentral:sRNA from 1 species